UACAGAGGUCUCAAGCGUUGUUCGGAUUCAUUGGGCGUAAAGGGUGCGUAGGCGGCGCGGUAAGUCGGGUGCGAAAUCUCGGAGCUUAACUCCGAAACUGCAUUCGAUACUGCCGUGCUUGAGGACUGGAGAGGAGACUGGAAUUUACGGUGUAGCGGUGAAAUGCGUAGAUAUCGUAAGGAAGACCAGUGGCGAAGGCGGGCCUCUGGACAGUUCCUGACGCUGAGGCACGAAGGUCAGGGGAGCAAACGGG
rnacentral:rRNA from 1 species